CUUUCUUUAGGGGUGUCACAAUGUGCAGCUUCAUUUGUGUUGCCCAUAUGCCAGCAGUCUUUUCAAAAGCCACUCUUGCUCUUCUGCUGAUCAUUGCAUCAGACAGGAAGGUGAUUUCGGGAGAGCUGCUCUGAUUCCUACUGCUUUCAGUGAGAGACGAAACAUCUUUCUCCUCUCUGAAAGAAGUACUUGGCAGAAGCAACAGACAAGUUCUUAAACUCCUAUCUGUGCUUCUUGGAACUGAUACUAGUGCAGAACCCAUUCUCCCAAUUAAAAACUGACAGUCUAACAUCUUGCUGCAAAGGUAUUUGGUAAAAAAGGAUAUUAGAUGGGAAAAUAUUAAACAGUGAGUACAGUAUCUCCAGCAAGUCUAUCAGAAUUACAUAAUUUGCCUUAGCUGGUGCAGGAUUUUUACUUUGCUCUAUGCUCAGCAUCAUACACAAUAAAGGACAUGAGUGCUCUUGAUUUUUUUUUUCCAUAACCACCACUCAGAGUGAGAGUUGUGCAUAUGUCCUUGACAAGACUUGAAAUUUCGAAUAGUUUCACUUGUUACCAAUAUUUUCUCAAGUUAUUUCAUGGACACUAAUUAAUAUUCCAGCUACUUAAGCAAUCCUGGUCCAUCCCACUGCAAGGAAGACUGUCUCCAAAUGACUAGAUGAAUUGAAAACCCUUGUUCUGCCCAUUCAGCAUCAUUACAAAAUGACACUGAGUACUGUUCUUAAGUGUUCCUGUAUCACUCUGUCUCUCUCAGCCAUCAAGCACAGAAGAAUCUGCAGUUGUUAAGUCCUUUUGUGUCCAAAGGGAAAGGAGUAGGAUUUCAGGAUACAUUAAUACCUCCACAAAGGAAAUGUGUUACAUACUUGGACUCAGCCUCAGCCCAAAGGAGGAGCCCUUAACAAGCAUCUCUUGGUGCUAAGUAGGGGAACAAAGUAAAAGGGACUCUGACUGUGACACUUGAGUCAGAUGGAUCUAUGCACAUCCAAGUGCCUCUGUGACAAUGACUGUAGCAAAAGUUCACUCCAGACAAGGGCUACAUGUACGAACAUGUAUCUGCAUGGCCCUUUAGACUGCAAUAACACAUACCUGGAAGCAUCACAGGCAAAAGAAGUAAACAACAGGGGAAAGAAGAAAAGCAUGGUCACAUGCAUCCCGGAUAUUCUGAGGUCAGCACGUGUGGAGGAAUAGCAUACCAUAAG
rnacentral:lncRNA from 1 species